ACAGCCAUCAUCAGCCUGCCACUCGUUGAGUCCUGAUCCAUGGCCUAAACCUCAAAUUCCUGGGAGGAAUCAUUCCGGAACCAAGUUACUCUCCAAGCCUCAGUUUUCUUAUCUGUGCAAUGGGCUAGGAGCUGUUCUGAGUUGUCGUGAGGGCCAAUGGCCCAAAGUCUGAGACUGGCAGGGGCAGGCAUUCCACUAGUGCCCGUCCUGUUUAACACUGGCCCCUGGGCUGGGCACAGCAGCUCGCACCUAUCAUCCCAGUGCUUUGGGAAGCCAAGGUGGGAAGGUUGCUUGAGACCAGGAGUUCAGGACCAGCGUAGGCAACAGAGACUCCGUGUCUACAGAAAAACUUAAAAAAUUAGCUGGGUAUGGUGACGUGUGCCUGUAGCUCCAGCUACUCAGGAGGCUUGGGUUGGAGGCUUGCUUGAGCCCAGGAGUCUGAGGUUUAGAGUGAGCUAUGAUUGCACCGCCGCACUCCAGCCUGGGUGACAGUCAAAAUUAAAAAUCUGCUCCCAGAAAGGGGGUUCAGAGGGUGACCGCUUAUUCCCCGGGACUCAGCCUACAUUUUCUCUGCCAACCCAUGCCUUUACCUUCUGGGCUAGGGAAAGAAGACAGGCAGGUGACAAGGGAGAGACGGAUUAGCACAGCUCCUCCCCUUCACCCCUCACCCCACAUUUUUUAGUGACAGGAUUUUAAACGGUUGCUGUAGGCAAGAGAGCUGUCAGCCCAUUAUGGGCGAGGGUGGAGCUUAGAGAGCUCCUCACAUGAGCCCAGCCUGUGGCUUGGACAGAAAGCCCCAUUAAUCCUCCCUCUGUGCUGUGCAGUCUGGGUUGAGCAACUUGAUUUCUCUGAGCCUCAGUGAGGCACUCUGAAGGUAGGAGUUUCCUUGUUCCCGGGACCCUGGGCCUGACCUGGAGGACCGGAUCGCAGGGCCAGAGAGUCUGGUCUUGGGGAGGCAGCUGGCGUGGUGGCCAGGCCAUGGGUUUGCAACUGCACCUGGGUUCGAGCCCUGGUUCGGCUGUCCCUUGCUAGCUUUGCUGCAUUGGGCUGGUCGCUUUCGCCUUCCAAGCCUGGGUUUUCCCUUCAGAAACAUGGGGACCUGCCUCUUGGGGUUGUUGGAGUGUAGAGGAGGACAUGAACCGGAGGUCCUCCAAGUCGUUAGACUCUGAAGGCAGCUGGAACUGCCCGGGGAGGGCUGUGAAUGGAGAGCCCAGAAGAGGGUGCAGGGCGGGGCCUGCCCCUAGGGGGCGCUGGUGCCCGCGGGCAUCCAGGGAUGAGAGGUGGCCUUCGGGUGGUCCCUGCCACAGGUGUGGGGAGAGGAGGUCGGGGAGCAACCAGAGGGCUGGCAGAAGGGAGAGAACACUGGGACGUCAGGUCUGCGGACAGGAGGCCCAGAGGCCUCCCAGAUGCAGACAUGCAAAGAUAGGCAAUGACGCCGUGUGGGGUAUGCAAACAUCUCCACCAGCACGUCGCCACAUCAGGGACACGUGUCUCCAGGUGCAGAGACAUGCGGCCUCGCCAGGAGACACAGCCAUGCACGAUGGUCUGACACCUGCAGACCCCCAGCUUCAUGCAGGACAUAUCCAGGCAAACCGGCCCACAGAGCUAUUCCAUAGACACACACACGUCCACACAUGCACACACACCCUGAGAGUUUCAAGGAAUGCACCUUGGAAACCAAAUUCCCUCGAGUCUCUGCCAUCACCACCAUACUCCCCAUCCCUGCCACCAUCUCUAGAGACCCCACAGCCACAUCCCAUCCCAAGUCCUCACGAUUCCUCAGGGUUUGGCUUCAGCUUCUUCCUCCUCCCAUGCCGUCCUCCUCUGGGGAACUCAUCCAUCCCGUGCCUCAGUGGCCAGCCACCUGGUUGAAGACCCGGGUGCUCAGCAUCCCGUCUGGUCACUCUGAGGCCCAGCCCUGGCCCAGGACGUCUCCACUUGGAUGCCUGGGAGACCCUAAGCUCACACGCCCAGACCACACAUGUCCCCACUCCCUGUGCCUCCUGUGCCCCCGUCUCGGUGAUCCAGGGACCUAGAUGCUGCCUGGACUCCCCCCUCACCAAUAUCUCCGGGAUCUGCCCUGGAGACUGCCACCCUAGUCAAAGCCAUCGUCACCUCUCACCUGGUGACCCAACUGACUUCCCUGCUUCCAUCCAGUCACCUUGAUCUAAUCGGAUCUAUUCUCUACUUGGCAGCAAGGCCCUGAACGGUCUGGCCCUGCCCUCAAACUUUGCUGUUCUUGCAGUUUAGGAGAUUCACAAGAUUUUGCCUGCCCCUGAGGUUUUGGACAAGUCUGGAAUGCUCUCAGACACCCCUUCUCACUCUCAGUCCUCCUGAUGCCAGGUAACUUCAGAUCACAGCUUAAUAUGUAGCUUCUUCCAGGAAGCCUUCCAUGAUGCUCCACCCUCCAGACGAGGUUGGGUACCCGGGCAACAGGGUUUCUUUGUACCUCAACUGAGCUUGUAUCACACUGCGAUCUCCUUGAAGCAGGGAUAGCCAAUCCCCAGUUCUCAGCCUGGUGGCUGGCACUUAAGGGGCCUUCGCAAAUACUGGUUGAUUGAAUGAAUGAAAGUGUUGGAGAAUGGGAUAGAGUGAAAUGGAGAUGGGGUGAAUGCAUUUCUUUUAAGGUUGGAGAUGGCUCAGGGUUGGGAUGAGACAAAGGUGGAAGAGAAGAGAAUCACAGGAGGGUUGGGCAAGAAUAGGG
ensembl:lncRNA novel transcript